AAAGCUAAAGGGUAUAAACUGUAGUAGACAUUGAAGGUUGUGAAUUGACCUUGUGCAUUGCAUGUGAACUUGGCACAGGGGAUGGGAUGAGACUAUAACAUCAUGGUACCAGGCUGAGCUGGAUGAAAGGUUGAUACAUUUAUCUGAUGUGAAUGAAGUAAAUCUGCCAUCAUGAGCGCUAUACUGAUAUCUCGUAGUGGACAGCUUACCCGCCGUUUUUCGAAUGGUCAGCUGCUUCUGAAACUUCCACAGACUGAAGGAACUGUGAGCUCUACAAGAAGCUCUGACAGCUGGAUUUUACGCUCAGCUAUUGUCCUUUCCUUCCUGGGAUUUGGAUUUUCGGCCUUCUCUACUCAGAAGCUGUGUGACACGAGUAAACACAAAACACCCCUUGCUUUUCUCAAAAAGUCAUGAUGGCAGAUAUAGGAACUUGUGAUAUAAACUAACAAUGCAAUGCUGAGCAGACAGUGUGAGAGUUGGCCUUGAUUCUUGGGCUGACAUUAGAGUUAGUUUGUGAUAGGCAUACCGGUGCAGUACAUAUUCAUAUAUUAACCAGGACCAGGAUGGGUGUUUUACCUUAUAACAUAUAUGGACAUGUGAGUCAGAAAUACAUGUACAUGGAUGGACUGUCUCCAGCUUGGUCAUACAACCGUACAUAAUUCACCAGUUUUGUCUCUUUCGCUAUCUGUGCCCGGUUAUAUUUAUGAGUUAUCAAAAUUGUUAUUUAAAGAGUGCCAGUCAAUCUUAUGAUAGGUAUAUGCUGAACAAAUCCCAAAACUGUCUGUUGUGAAGAAACUAUACCAUGGACUGUGGUGUAGUUAUUGUUAAAAAAUUGUUUAUUUGUGUGUAUAUGUGGAAUGAAGUAGAUAAGUCUGAUUACUGUGAAGAUGUUUUAUUGUCAUUAGUCAUUUAUAUUACAAAGAAAUAAACUAACCUCUGGGC